CGCUCUUUCAGGGAGUAAAAAUUUCUUCACAAAUGUGUUGAUGGCUGGACAUAGCAUCAUCCUAGAAAACUUGGAGGCCAGUGAGGACAAAAAUAAAAAGUUAUAAGACUUUUAAAAAUGUGGAUUUUUGGGUUAUCUUUGGCGCCCCCUAGAACCUAAACCGUGGGGUGCAGCGUCAUGAUUUGAAUAACUUUUAAUGGCCAUGGGGUGUAGAUUGGCCUGAGCAAAUGUGGUGCCGGUGGAACGAAAGCCUUCGGAGGAGUUAGCGAAAUUCCAAUGUGUGCGGAUCGGCAAAAAAUGCGAAAUAACCCUUUAACCGUACAUUUGACAGAUACGCCCGCACUGACUUUUUUGUAGAUCUUAUUGAGAUACAUGUGUGUGUCAAUUUUUGUGUCAUUUUGACAAAGCGUACAGGCGUGACAGUCAAUAGUGUGAAUUUUCACCUUAGGGGGCGCUAUGGAGCCAUUUUGCAUUUUCUUGUUUGGGCGACUUCGGAAUAUCAAAUUUUUCACCAGGCCCGGUCGUCCUGCCAAAUUUCAUGAGUUUUCGCCAGUGGGAAGUGGGCCAUUUUCCAGUUCAAAGGGGAGGAAAAAGAAGAAAGAAAGAAACAAAGAAAAACCACUUGGGGAAUAAUAGGGCUCUCGCAGCUGCUUAGCAGCUACGCUCGGGCCCUAAAAACAAACCACUAGGACCCCGUUGGGGCACUGGCGGGCCCGAGCCGUGUCGCGUCCCCCCCCCCCCCAACGUGCUGCCUCCCCGUCCCAUUUGUGUCCUCUGGCCAUCGCCCUCUCUGGUAACGCCCAUCACUGCAAAGACCCUUUUCCUUCAUCGGCGUUUGCUGUUCUUCCUGCCAGUGCGUGUUGCUUUCACUUACACUUGCCACAGCCAGCCUCGUGAGUGCCUAGCCUAUUGGAUAUCACUGUCACCUACACAGGACAGUCAUUACCUUUCUAUUAAUACUUUGUGUUUUAAUUUCACAUUAAUUUCCAUAUUGUAUAAACGACUGGAAAAAACUUGAGCCCCUGCCCCUGUAUAAUCAUGUGCAUGUCUCUGUUCUAGCUCCAAAGUGAAUCUUCACUGCUCAUGUUCUCCUCAGAAG